CAGCCGCCGCGGUAAUACGUAGGUGGCAAGCGUUGUCCGGAAUUAUUGGGCGUAAAGGGCUCGCAGGCGGUUUCUUAAGUCUGAUGUGAAAGCCCCCGGCUCAACCGGGGAGGGUCAUUGGAGACUGGGAAACUUGAGUGCAGAAGAGGAGAGUGGAAUUCCACGUGUAGCGGUGAAAUGCGUAGAGAUGUGGAGGAACACCAGUGGCGAAGGCGACUCUCUGGCCUAAUACUGACGCUGAGGUGCGAAAGCGUGGGGAGCGAACGGGAUUAGAGACCCCCGUAGUCCCUGUCUCUUAUAC
rnacentral:rRNA from 1 species